rnacentral:rRNA from 1 species
AGCGUACACGGUGGAUGCCCUGGCAGUCAGAGGCGAUGAAGGACGUGCUAAUCUGCGAUAAGCGUCGGUAAGGUGAUAUGAACCGUUAUAACCGGCGAUUUCCGAAUGGGGAAACCCAGUGUGAUUCGUCACACUAUCAUUAACUGAAUCCAUAGGUUAAUGAGGCGAACCGGGGGAACUGAAACAUCUAAGUACCCCGAGGAAAAGAAAUCAACCGAGAUUCCCCCAGUAGCGGCGAGCGAACGGGGAGCAGCCCAGAGCCUGAAUCAGUGUGUGUGUUAGUGGAAGCGUCUGGAAAGGCGCGCGAUACAGGGUGACAGCCCCGUACACAAAAAUGCACAUGCUGUGAGCUCGAUGAGUAGGGCGGGACACGUGGUAUCCUGUCUGAAUAUGGGGGGACCAUCCUCCAAGGCUAAAUACUCCUGACUGACCGAUAGUGAACCAGUACCGUGAGGGAAAGGCGAAAAGAACCCCGGCGAGGGGAGUGAAAAAGAACCUGAAACCGUGUACGUACAAGCAGUGGGAGCACGCUUCGGCGUGUGACUGCGUACCUUUUGUAUAAUGGGUCAGCGACUUAUAUUCUGUAGCAAGGUUAACCGAAUAGGGGAGCCGAAGGGAAACCGAGUCUUAACUGGGCGUUAAGUUGCAGGGUAUAGACCCGAAACCCGGUGAUCUAGCCAUGGGCAGGUUGAAGGUUGGGUAACACUAACUGGAGGACCGAACCGACUAAUGUUGAAAAAUUAGCGGAUGACUUGUGGCUGGGGGUGAAAGGCCAAUCAAACCGGGAGAUAGCUGGUUCUCCCCGAAAGCUAUUUAGGUAGCGCCUCGUGAAUUCAUCUCCGGGGGUAGAGCACUGUUUCGGCAAGGGGGUCAUCCCGACUUACCAACCCGAUGCAAACUGCGAAUACCGGAGAAUGUUAUCACGGGAGACACACGGCGGGUGCUAACGUCCGUCGUGAAGAGGGAAACAACCCAGACCGCCAGCUAAGGUCCCAAAGUCAUGGUUAAGUGGGAAACGAUGUGGGAAGGCCCAGACAGCCAGGAUGUUGGCUUAGAAGCAGCCAUCAUUUAAAGAAAGCGUAAUAGCUCACUGGUCGAGUCGGCCUGCGCGGAAGAUGUAACGGGGCUAAACCAUGCACCGAAGCUGCGGCAGCGACACUAUGUGUUGUUGGGUAGGGGAGCGUUCUGUAAGCCUGUGAAGGUGGCCUGUGAGGGUUGCUGGAGGUAUCAGAAGUGCGAAUGCUGACAUAAGUAACGAUAAAGCGGGUGAAAAGCCCGCUCGCCGGAAGACCAAGGGUUCCUGUCCAACGUUAAUCGGGGCAGGGUGAGUCGACCCCUAAGGCGAGGCCGAAAGGCGUAGUCGAUGGGAAACAGGUUAAUAUUCCUGUACUUGGUGUUACUGCGAAGGGGGGACGGAGAAGGCUAUGUUGGCCGGGCGACGGUUGUCCCGGUUUAAGCGUGUAGGCUGGUUUUCCAGGCAAAUCCGGAAAAUCAAGGCUGAGGCGUGAUGACGAGGCACUACGGUGCUGAAGCAACAAAUGCCCUGCUUCCAGGAAAAGCCUCUAAGCAUCAGGUAACAUCAAAUCGUACCCCAAACCGACACAGGUGGUCAGGUAGAGAAUACCAAGGCGCUUGAGAGAACUCGGGUGAAGGAACUAGGCAAAAUGGUGCCGUAACUUCGGGAGAAGGCACGCUGAUAUGUAGGUGAAGCGACUUGCUCGUGGAGCUGAAAUCAGUCGAAGAUACCAGCUGGCUGCAACUGUUUAUUAAAAACACAGCACUGUGCAAACACGAAAGUGGACGUAUACGGUGUGACGCCUGCCCGGUGCCGGAAGGUUAAUUGAUGGGGUUAGCGGUAACGCGAAGCUCUUGAUCGAAGCCCCGGUAAACGGCGGCCGUAACUAUAACGGUCCUAAGGUAGCGAAAUUCCUUGUCGGGUAAGUUCCGACCUGCACGAAUGGCGUAAUGAUGGCCAGGCUGUCUCCAUCCGAGACUCAGUGAAAUUGAACUCGCUGUGAAGAUGCAGUGUACCCGCGGCAAGACGGAAAGACCCCGUGAACCUUUACUAUAGCUUGACACUGAACAUUGAGCCUUGAUGUGUAGGAUAGGUGGGAGGCUUUGAAGUGUGGACGCCAGUCUGCAUGGAGCCGACCUUGAAAUACCACCCUUUAAUGUUUGAUGUUCUAACGUUGGCCCCUGAUCGGGGUUGCGGACAGUGUCUGGUGGGUAGUUUGACUGGGGCGGUCUCCUCCUAAAGAGUAACGGAGGAGCACGAAGGUUGGCUAAUCCUGGUCGGACAUCAGGAGGUUAGUGCAAUGGCAUAAGCCAGCUUGACUGCGAGCGUGACGGCGCGAGCAGGUGCGAAAGCAGGUCAUAGUGAUCCGGUGGUUCUGAAUGGAAGGGCCAUCGCUCAACGGAUAAAAGGUACUCCGGGGAUAACAGGCUGAUACCGCCCAAGAGUUCAUAUCGACGGCGGUGUUUGGCACCUCGAUGUCGGCUCAUCACAUCCUGGGGCUGAAGUAGGUCCCAAGGGUAUGGCUGUUCGCCAUUUAAAGUGGUACGCGAGCUGGGUUUAGAACGUCGUGAGACAGUUCGGUCCCUAUCUGCCGUGGGCGCUGGAGAACUGAGGGGGGCUGCUCCUAGUACGAGAGGACCGGAGUGGACGCAUCACUGGUGUUCGGGUUGUCAUGCCAAUGGCACUGCCCGGUAGCUAAAUGCGGAAGAGAUAAGUGCUGAAAGCAUCUAAGCACGAAACUUGCCCCGAGAUGAGUUCU